GUAGAGAGUGGCGGAUUGGGGAGGAACACGUGAGCAACCUGCCUUGGAGUCGGGGAAAACCGUUGGAAACGACGGCUAAUACCGGGAUGCGGCGACCCGAAGACAUCUUCGGAGCGCUAAAGGGGGCCGCAAGGCUCUCGCUCCUAGAGGGGCUCGCGCACCAUCAGCUUGUUGGCGGGGUAACGGCCCACCGAAGGCCUACGGUUAGCUGGUCUGAGAGGAUGACCAGCCCCACUGGGACUGAGAUACUGCCCAGACUCCUACGGGAGGCUGCAGUCGAGGAUCAUUUGCAAUGGGCGAAAGCCUGACAAUGCGACGCUGCGGUUAGGAGGAUGAAGGCCUUCGGGUUGUAAACUCCUGUCAUGGGGGAACAGGCGAGGGGAGUUAAUACCUCCCUUAGUUGAGUGUACCCCAAGAGGAAUUGGCGGCUAACUCUGUGCCAGCAGCCGC
rnacentral:rRNA from 1 species